UGCCAGACUCCUACGGGAGGCAGCAGUGGGGGAUAUUGCACAAUGGGGGAAACCCUGAUGCAGCGACGCCGCGUGAGUGAAGAAGUAUUUCGGUAUGUAAAGCUCUAUCAGCAGGGAAGAAAAAAGACGGUACCUGACUAAGAAGCCCCGGCUAACUACGUGCCAGCAGCCGCGGUAAUACGUAGGGGGCAAGCGUUAUCCGGAUUUACUGGGUGUAAAGGGCGUGCAGCCGGGAAGACAAGUCAGAUGUGAAAUCCCGCGGCUCAACCGCGGAACUGCAUUUGAAACUGUUUUUCUUGAGUAUCGGAGAGGUAAUCGGAAUUCCUAGUGUAGCGGUGAAAUGCGUAGAUAUUAGGAAGAACACCAGUGGCGAAGGCGGAUUACUGGACGACAACUGACGGUGAGGCGCGAAAGCGUGGGGAGCAAACAGGAUUAGAUACCCGGGUAA
rnacentral:rRNA from 1 species